AAUAGAAUAAAAAUCUUGGAAACCAGGAGCAGAAAGCUAAGAGAGCUACUGGGAUCCUCCCAACCAUUCUCCUUCUCUCACCCAUGGAAAUUCUUUCAUGGAAAUCCACAGCCAACCAGCCGAGAAUGAACAGGCACUCCUUAAACACUUGCAGAGAGAUGGAUGAUGAAAUUGCCAUAAUACCAUGCUUCAGAAACACAAUGCUGAGAGUCAAGGCUUCAGCAGACUGCUGAAGAGAUCUACCGCAUAAAAAGUCUAAGAACCCUGCCUGCACAUCCUUGCCAUCACAGGUUUACAACAAUGACAUCAUUUAAAGGAACUUAAUUGUAAAACCUUAAAAUCAGUAAGAAGAAAAGCUUGUUGAGAAAACUUCAGCUGGUAGUAAUACUGGUGGUUUGAAGUUUAGGGACAACUUAAUGAGCUUGUUUGAAGUUUGACGGACUUGCCUUGGGAACUGAGAGCUGGUCAGAUCAGACAAAAUCAUCCAACUCAAGAAUGUUCCGCAGAGCAGGAUGGGCAUUUACAUAACAUGAAAAUUAAGGUUAACAUGCCCAUUGUCAUAUCAUUAAGCGAGCCUCCUCCAACUCU